rnacentral:rRNA from 1 species
UACGUAGGGUGCGAGCGUUAAUCGGAAUUACUGGGCGUGAAGCGUGCGCAGGCGGCGCCGCAAGUCAGGCGUGAAAUCCCCGAGCUUAACUUGGGAAUGGCGCUUGAAACUACGGUGCUGGAGUGUGGCAGAGGGAGGUGGAAUUCCACGUGUAGCGGUGAAAUGCGUAGAGAUGUGGAGGAACACCGAUGGCGAAGGCAGCCUCCUGGGCCAACACUGACGCUCAUGCACGAAAGCGUGGGGAGCAAACAGG